AAACGAAUCCGGCAAAUUCACACACGUGUCGACACGUUGUCCCAGGGUGCUGUUCCCUUUUAUAGGGUCGGUUGGGUCAAUCGGAUGCGUGGAGGACUAAC
rnacentral:sRNA from 1 species